AAAAUGGCCCACAGCUGGAACAAGAGGACCCAGACCGGGUGAGGGCUGAAAAUAUUUGACUCCUCACCACCUUUAUAGAGCAGGCCAUACAGCUGGCAAGGCCAGAACCAUGACCAUUUCUGCACUGAUUGGAUAGCUAUACAGAAUAAAAUUGUUCAGGAGUUCUGCCAUCGAUCUCAGCAAAGCAACCAUAUCACUCAUUGCCAGUGCUUCUGAAUUAAAGUCAAACUUGGAUCUUCCCUUAACACGGCUCACUUUUGACUGAAUAGGCAGAUUGAAGUAUGCAAUAGUUCCAGUCUCACAGCUACCAGUGUGUUGAAAACUACAUGUGUGCAGACACUGAAUGUAACCUCCAUGUUAUAACCCUGUGCGAUUGUAACAAGACUUUUUUUUGUUCUUCUGCUCCAAUUUAUUUGUAAUAAAGGCCAAUAUGCAUUAA